AAACAGCAUCGCCUCUGGCCUCGCGCCAACUCACCCAGGACGGAAAACGUGACCCCAGCACGGGGCCCGCGAGGGACCAAUCAGAAAACAAGAGGCAGGGCCACUGGACGAACCCAAAGUCCCACGAGCCCUCUAGUGGCGGCGGAAAGUAGAGACGAGCACUCGGGGUAGCGAGGUCGAAGCUCGGGGUGUUCAAAAGAAGAAACUAGAAAGGUAGCCCAAGGCCACUGUCACCCGCGAGACCAAGACCAGAGUCAUAAGCCCAGGAAAGUUUAUUAAAAUGAGAAUUCUUGAGCUCAUGGGAGAUGUAGUGCAUCAGGGUGUCGGGAAGGGGCCCAGAAAUCUGAAUUUUUACCAAGAUCUCCCAAGAAAUUCUUGCCUCACAGAGAGGUUUGGGAAUCCGUGACCCAGUCCUAAGAGUUAAAAGGGGUCCCCACCGUUCCGAUUUCUCUAGGGCUGCUAGGAUCAGAAACCGGGAACGUCCCACCCAAGUUCCCGGGCUCCAGAAGCGCUUAAGACCGGAAACCGGAACGCUUCCAAAGUGGCUGGGGGCCCGGAGGAAGCCAAGGAAGUGGCGUCCUCUCCCACGUCGGCUUGCUAAGGGAACCAGAUGGCAGGGCGGACGUCUCGGGGCCUGCCGGGAAAUGUAGUCCGCAGGGAGUGCGGGCGCGCGCCUGCGCCCUGCGCAGCUGCCGCGGGGAGCCUGAGAAAGCCUUGUGCAAAGAUGGGGAGUCCCUAAGUGGCCACAGGGCGUGGUCGUCCCGCGGGCGGUGUGAAGGGGCUGGCCGGUCCCGCUGGGGCUUCACCUACUGGCCGCCGCCAGACCUGACCCGUUCCAGCUGCCAUGGGAGACCAGGAGAGGAGGUUCCUGGCACACUCUGCACUCUCAGGAGCCCCUCACACAGGACGUCAGACGUUGCAGCUUGGGCCCCUCUUGACCGGACGGCAAGAACAGAGCUGCUGACAUCCACAGCCCAAGAUCCUUCUGAGAUCCCGGGGAGAGAUAGGUGCCCACGCGCCCAACGACGUUCCUGAAGCGAGCUCGGUGGUCUGAGAGGUAAGACAUCCAUAUCCACCAAUAACAUGUAAUAUUUCUUUGUGAUGUUACCACGCCCACCCACCUGAUGACCCCCAACCCUACCGGAUAAAAUGGGCACUGCGUCGGGUUCAGAAAUACAGCACAAAGCUUUUGGGGGGGGGCAGUCUGGGGGUCGUGGUAGGGAUCAGGGGUGUGUGGGGGUCAAGGUCAGGUAUUAGGGGUGAGUGCGGUCUCCAAAGGCAGUUUGUCAUCACACUCACAGCCCUCGUCCUUUGCUCCUCCGGGCCUUGCACAGAUCUGUCAGCACCUAGUUCCCAGCCUUAGAUCCUUUCCUUCUUGAAAUGCCUGGAGUGGAUUCUCUUUAACUGUUCUUGCCUGUUGCAGGGAACAAGGCAGAUAAAGCGAUCUCUGAGGACUACCCUGGAAACAGGUGCAUGUGGUGGGGGGGUGGGGGGGGGAAGAGCCCCCCGGGUCCCCUGGGUCGAUUGACUUGCAUCAUCUUUUCCAGGAGUGGUGCUCCUUCGUGAAGCCGUCUGUGGCGUCAGCGAGUCAUGGAGAAAGAAAAGCCUGAAGUGAAACCCAGCACACCCGCACCCAGCGACGAGGAGAAGACAACUAGACCCUCAAGACGCCCCAGGCCUUCCCAAAAUAUCCUGUGCUUUUUACUGAAUAGGCAGCUGGGGAGGCACAGAAGUGACGUGGACCUGUCCAUGUGGGUGUGGAUGCUGGACUGAGCCACGCCCCGCUGCAGGUGGCCCCUUCCAAACAACCAUGGGUCUUGCCUGCUCACCCCCACCCCCACCACCUCUUGAAAAUGGGAAAGAAAAAUUGAUUUAAAAUAACAAACACCUCUCUCGUGUCAGCUCUUGAAAUAAAAGCUGCGUUUUCCUCCUUGUGGUUCGAUGU
ensembl:lncRNA